GAAGGGACCUAGCGUAGUUCGGAAUUACUGGGCUUAAAGAGUUCGUAGGUGGUUGAAAAAGUUGGUGGUGAAAUCCCAGAGCUUAACUCUGGAACUGCCAUCAAAACUUUUCAGCUAGAGUUUGAUAGAGGAAAGCAGAAUUUCUAGUGUAGAGGUGAAAUUCGUAGAUAUUAGAAAGAAUACCAAUUGCGAAGGCAGCUUUCUGGAUCAUUACUGACACUGAGGAACGAAAGCAUGGGUAGCGAAGAGGAUUAGAUACCCUCGUAGUCCAUGCCGUAAACGAUGUGUGUUAGACGUUGGAAAUUUAUUUUCAGUGUCGCAGCGAAAGCGAUAAACACACCGCCUGGGGAGUACGACCGCAAGGUUAAAACUCAAAUGAAUUGACGGGGACCCGCACAAGUAGUGGAGCAUGUGGUUUAAUUCGAAGAUACGCGCAGAACCUUACCAACACUUGACAUGUUCGUCGCGACUUUAAGAGAUUAAAGUUUUCGGUUCGGCCGGACCAAACACAGGUGCUGCAUGGCUGUCGUCAGCUCGUGUCGUGAGAUGUUGGGUUAAAGUCCCGCAACGAGCGCAACCCUCACUUUUAGUUG
rnacentral:rRNA from 1 species